UGCGUAGGCGGGGCAAUUAGUCAGUGGUGAAAUCCUGCGGCUUAACCGUAGAACUGCCAUUGAUACUGUUGCCCUUGAGUAUAGUUGAGGUGGGCGGAAUGUGUAAUGUAGCGGUGAAAUGCAUAGAGAUUACACAGAACACCAAUUGCGAAGGCAGCUCACUAAACUAUAACUGACGCUGAGGCACGAAAGCGUGGGUAGCAAACAGGAUUAGAUACCCUGGUAGUCC
rnacentral:rRNA from 1 species